AAUCUUCCACAAUGGGCGAAACCCUGAUGGAGCAACGCAGCGUGAGUGAAGAAGGUUUUCGGUUCGUAAAUCUCUGUUGUAAGGGAAGAACAAGUACGGUAGUAACUGGCUGUACCUUGCCGGUACCUCAUUAGAAAGCCACGGCUCAGUACGUGCCAGCUGCCGCGGUAAUACGUAGGUAGCAAGCGUUGUCCGGAAUUAUUGGGCGUAAAACGCGAACAGGUGGUUUCUUAAGUCUGAUGUGAAAGCCAACGGCUUAACCGUGGAGGGUCAUUGGAGACUGGGAGACGUGAGUACAGAAGAGGAUAGUGGAUUUCCAAAUGUAGCGGUGAAAUGCGUAGAGAUUUGGAGGAACACCAGUGGCGAAGGCGACUAUCUGGUCUGUAACUGACACUGAGGAGCGAAAGCGUAGGGAGCAAACAG
rnacentral:rRNA from 1 species